GACGAACGCUGGCGGCGUGCCUAAUACAUGCAAGUAGAACGCACAGUUUAUACCGUAGCUUGCUACACCAUAAACUGUGAGUUGCGAACGGGUGAGUAACGCGUAGGUAACCUGCCUGGUAGCGGGGGAUAACUAUUGGAAACGAUAGCUAAUACCGCAUAAUAUUGAUUAUUGCAUGAUAAUUGAUUGAAAGAUGCUAUUGCAUCACUACCAGAUGGACCUGCGUUGUAUUAGCUAGUAGGUGAGGUAACGGCUCACCUAGGCGAUGAUACAUAGCCGACCUGAGAGGGUGAUCGGCCACACUGGGACUGAGACACGGCCCAGACUCCUACGGGAGGCAGCAGUAGGGAAACUUCGGCAAUGGACGAAAGUCUGACCGAGCAACGCCGCGUGAGUGAAGAAGGUUUUCGGAUCGUAAAGCUCUGUUGUAAGAGAAGAACGGGUGUGAGAGUGGAAAGUUCACACUGUGACGGUAUCUUACCAGAAAGGGACGGCUAACUACGUG
rnacentral:rRNA from 1 species